GACGAACGCUGGCGGCGUGCCUAAUACAUGCAAGUCGAGCGGACCAAACAGGAGCUUGCUCUUGUUUGGUUAGCGGCGGACGGGUGAGUAACACGUGGGUAACCUGCCCGUAAGACCGGGAUAACUCCGGGAAACCGGAGCUAAUACCGGAUAACACCGAAGACCGCAUGGUCUUUGGUUGAAAGGCGGCUUCGGCUGCCACUUACGGAUGGGCCCGCGGCGCAUUAGCUAGUUGGUGAGGUAACGGCUCACCAAGGCGACGAUGCGUAGCCGGCCUGAGAGGGUGACCGGCCACACUGGGACUGAGACACGGCCCAGACUCCUACGGGAGGCAGCAGUAGGGAAUCUUCCGCAAUGGACGAAAGUCUGACGGAGCGACGCCGCGUGAGCGAAGAAGGUCGUCGGAUCGUAAAGCUCUGUUGUUAGGGAAGAAGAAGCGCCGUUCGAACAGGGCGGCGCGGUGACGGUACCUAACGAGAAAGCCCCGGCUAACUACGUG
rnacentral:rRNA from 1 species